CUUACUUGAGAAUGUGAUGGAUGACUUGGCUUUGUUAAUCAUUUGACCAGAAGCUCACUCAUAAUCUUUAAGGAUCCCCAGCAGAGUUUUGCAAUUUGAAGCGGAUGCAAGGCAAAAGAACAAGGUGUCAUCUGCAAAGAGCAGAUGACUGACCCUCUGGCUUCCACGUGCUACUCUGACUCCCUGAAGCAAAUUAAAAUUUCCUUUCUGCACUCUUGCACAAACCAAAUAGGACUUCACUACAGAGUAUUAAGAUAUAAGGAGAUAGGGGAUCUCCCUGCCUAAUACCUUGGAUACCCGUUGAGAAGAACAGCUGGAUCUUCUUCACCACCGCUGGCCCGAUGACCUCCAGUUGGACUGAAAGAAAAUGGCUGAAACCCCGUCGGGGCCUAGCACCUUAUCUGCAUUGAUCGCAAAGGCAGCUUCCUUUAUCUCAUUUGCAUGCGGCAUCACUAUGAGUCUUUCAUUUUGUGCAUCUGAAAUGCAUGGUUGGAGAGCUUCCACGAUUUUUGGUUGUCCAUCAACACAACCCGAUUCAAAGAGGUCCGAGUAGUAUCCUGAGAUGGCUCUGGAAAUCUCUUCUUCUUCAUAGACUGAAUUCUUUUUCAGCUUUUUUACAAGUGCAACAAUCUCAGAUUAAGUUCGUGAAUCAGGGCUUCAUCGGAUUUUGAAUUGGACAUUGCGGCCUCCAGUUUCUGUUUUGUAUCCUCCAACGACUUUUGGCUGUUUUCAUGAAACUUCUUACUCCAGGCACAAAUGGCCUUUCUGCAUGAGAGAGCAUCUCUUCCACAUUAAGCUGCAGGGAGUUUUCCCAAAUAUCCUUAAUGAUAUUUUUUAUUUCCAGAUUAUCUUUGAGGCGUUUAUCGUAUCUGAAAUUUUUUGCCCCUUUUUUCUUGAAGUAUCUAGGAAAGUAAGCAGAGGUCUGUGAUCUGAGCCCUCAAACUUGAGGUACUGGUUUGUGCAAGAUGGGAACAGCUCCGUUCAUUCGGUUUUACUUACAGAUCUUUCCAGUCUGCAAAGCACCAGAUGAGUGUGUCUCUUCCCUCUCCAAGAUAAGUAUUUUCCAGAAAAUUUUAGAUAAAAGAGUUCAUUCUAAGACAGGAAAGACCUGAAGGCACAGAAAGUUCCUUCAACUCUUUCUGGUCCUUCGCUUUUUUCAAUGUUGUCCACUAUUUCGUUGAAGUCUCCUGUUAGGAACCAUGGACCCCCUGAGUCUGAUUGUAGAGCUGAUAGUGAAUUCCAAACUUAUAGCCUUUUUGUCUAAUCUGGUUUACCGUAGACAAACGUUGCAUGAAACGAUUUAUCUUUAUAGGAGACUGUAGCAUCGAUAAAAUUGUUUGAAGAUGAAUUAAUUUGGAGAUCCAUAUCUUUUUUCCAGGAAAGAAAAAGACCUCCACCUCCUGGCGUGUGCGGUGGAACUGCAAAAUAAUUAUUUGACUGAAGCCAAUGAAGUUCCUUUAGCAACAUCCCCGUGGGGUUUUUGGUCUCCAUGAGGAAAACAAUGUCAUGAUCAUUCUUCCUCUGGAUCCCUUUGAGUCGCUGGACUGUUACGGGGUUCCCCAGCCCAUAGAAGUUCCAGCUAAAAAUCACUAAGUAGUCUGGUGUAAAGAAGCCAAAAAUCCGACUUCUUCAUUGUUAUAGCUGGUAUUACAUGGAUCGGCGGGUUCCUCCCUGAUUGAGAAGUUUUCUGCUACAUCAUUUGGAGUCUUUUUCACCAUUUCCUUCUUUCUAUAUGAUUCUCUCUCUAAUGGAUCUACACCUU